UACUAUGAACAGCAACAUCCUCUUUAGCUUCUUUUUUACUCUGCCUGGUCGGAGGGGUUAACGUCGCAAAGAAGAAGUAAAGACGAUGAAAACCUCCUCUACGGGAGGUUUUUUUUUG
rfam:Thalassomonas actiniarum strain A5K-106 contig_73, whole genome shotgun sequence.